GGUGCUAACUUGACACAAGGACAGAGUCUGCAUCGGGUGGUUUUGGCUCUUUUUUACUGAGCUUUAUUCUCUCUCCAUCACAUUAUAAAAAGUAAGCAACAGUAAAUCAUCUGUCUCCUCCCCCUACCACAUUCAUAUCAGGAAUAUUUGGUAUCCUGCCCUUUUUCUGGAAGUGCAGCAUCUACUGUCAUUAGCUAGUCUUUACAUUUCGGUCUUCAAGAGUGAAGGACUCACAAAUCCAUUCUUACGGUUACUGGCUUAUUUAGGUUUAAGACUGCCUUCCCAGUAAAGAAGAGUAUAGAGAACACUUUUUCCAUGUAUGUAGGCUGCCUUAGCAACUUUAUGUUUCCUCUUUCUGAAGAUAGUAACAAAAUCCCAGGUCAACUAAAGCUUAAACAGUGUCCCAGACCUGAGGAUGUAGUGCUUAUUACAAAUGCCACCUCAGUGUGACUCCCUUUAGAGGCAAAGAUCUAGGAAGGCCAAGAACCUCGGAGACCUCGAACAGCCAUUUAGAGAAAACCUGGUGGUUCUCAUUUUCUUUCAUGCAGUACUCCCAGUUCUAGUGACCUCACAAAGUGGGCGGUGCUGAAAUUCUCCGGGGUUUUAGGGACAAACCUAUUGAUGAUCACUCAGUCCCGCUUCUGCCAUUUGCCUCUCAUCUUGGGUAAAAGUAUGUCUGCACCCCUCACGUUAGCCCAUGCGGAGCAUCAGAGAGGAAGCAGGCCAACAGAACUGGUCUAGGAAAUGGCACCAAGCCAACCUACCACACUGAGAGCCAGCCUGGUGUUUUGGAGAGCCCUGAAAUAGGCGGUGAGAGACGGAGGCAGCAGUGGUUCCCCAGCCUGUGACCUUGAGAAGCCCUUGUUGAAGCGUCCUCAGUGCAUCAGGUGGAUUCUCAUAUCUGCUUCUACAUUCAAUCUUGUGAUACUUCAGUUUGGUUGAAGCAUAUGAAGAAAAUUCAGCCUCACACAGCACGUGCUUGAGAUAAGAAUGUCAUGACUCCUAUCAGCAGCGUGGUGGCCCUGGCUUGAUUCGUGCUUAGAUUGCAGCAGUUUAACUCACCAUUGCUUCUGUACCUCAGUUAACUGUCGCACAUCCUGCUCUACCAGGGAAAGAUGGAAGCUGCACCCCAGAGCAGAGGACAGUUAUUUCAAGGCAAACAACGUGCUUGUUGACUAACUUGCCCAGAAGCACAACUCCAAAUUCCAAACAAAAGCCAUGCCCUAAAUGCUAUUUCUCCUCAUAAAAGGAAGCCACUCCUUUGCAACCACAUUAGAGAGAAAUAAACGCUGGAACCAAGGCCAACCUGAGGAGUCUUCGGUAUAAAGCUGAGGAUCAGUCUUUGCUCCGCAGGCUGAUUCUGCACAAAAGGAAGGAGCAGACCUACCAGAGCAAUGUUAUCGCGCAUGCGCCUGGCUCAAACGUGGACCCAUCCACGUAGGUGUAUUUUGCCUUCUCCAAAGGUGCCCUUUCUGUUUUGCUGAUACUCUGCUACUGGGCCUUGAGGAUGAUACAAAAAUGACAUGACUACCCUCUUCAAGGACUUUCUAGUCCUAAACAAGAGGCUUGCCUUCGUGGAGGUGUCUGUAACUCUGUUUCCAGCAAUUCGGUCAUGUCUGAAGGUUGACAUUGCACGUUUGAACAGAAAACCGCCUGGACCCAUCAAACUCCAGCAGGAUGCACAGUGGAAAGAAGGGGGAGAGCUCAGGCCCCAAACCGUACUGCUGUGCUAAAAACGUGGAAGGAACUGUCUCCAAGCAGUUCUUAAUUGUGCAAACCACCAAGUUUUCAACUGUCCAGUCCAACAGCAAAAGGUUUGGCAUUCAUGUGCUUUUUGUUCUGAAGAGGAGAAUCACUUCGGCUUGAUUUUCAUUCUUGGAAGAAAAAAAUAAUCAGCUGUUGUCCUCAGAUUUUAUGACAUGAUGUGAAAGAGAACGGAACAAAGAUUAGCGGUUCCCGCGGAGCUCGUCUGGGUUGGGUCUCCAGGCAGAUCUCUUCCUUCCCAGAAUGAAAAGAUGGACAAAAUAAACAAACCAACCCAAAAAAUCAGUUCAGAAGAUGGAGCUAAACUUCACCUAACUGGCAAGAACAACCCCUGUCCCCGGACCACAGAACGCACGCUUGUUCCCUGUGCACAUGAACACAUCCCCAGAGAGGGUAAAAAUAAAAUCAAAAUAGAUCACGUGGGACACAUUAGUCCAUUAAAUGGCCAAACUGAGGGAAUGGUGAGCACAUCUCGCCAACGGACUCUGUAAAGACACAUCUGAGUGCUGAGAAGAUGGAAAUGAUGGAGUGCCCGUGUAGUCCACCCAGGCAGCCUGAAAACGUCUAAACCCAACAGCUAUUACACCUUCAUUUCGGACAUGCAAAAUAGUAUCAUCAUUCACAAGAAACCCUGAAUUAGAGACUGCUAUAGAAAAUAUCAUUCUAAAUGUAAUUUUUCUCUAUUUAAAAGUUACUGAAAAAUUCUUUGGUUA